rnacentral:rRNA from 1 species
AUAUCAGUCAUGCAUAGCAUAUCAAUAAGCGGAGGAAAAGAAACUAACAAGGAUUCCCUUAGUAACGGCGAGUGAAGCGGGAAGAGCUCAAAUUUGAAAUCUUCAAGGUUCUACCUUGACGAAUUGUAGUUUAUAGAAGUGUUUUCUGUUAGUGGAGUGGCAAAAGUUCUUUGGAAUAGGACAUCAUAGAGGGUGAGAAUCCCGUAUUUGGUCAUUCCUCCUAGCUUUGUGAUACACUUUCAACGAGUCGGAUUGUUUGGGAAUGCAGUCCAAAAUGGGUGGUAAAUUUCAUCUAAAGCUAAAUAUUGGCGAGAGACCGAUAGCGAACAAGUACCGUGAGGGAAAGAUGAAAAGAACUUUGAAAAGAGAGUUAAACAGUACGUGAAAUUGUCAAAAGGGAAGCGUUUGACACCAGUGUUGUUUUUCCGAAAAUCAAUUACGAAUGUUUUGAUUUUAAGAAGUUAUGACUUCAUCGGCUUGCUCCUUUCUUUAUGAAACUUUCUUAAUGCACUUUUCGGUUAACAAGUCAACAUCAAUUUCUUUUGUUGUAAAAGGGUAUGAGGAAGGUGGCUUUCUUUUCGGAGAAAGUGUUUAUAGCCUUGUACCUCUGCAAUCGGAGAGAUUGAGGUCUGCAGCGUAGAUCCUUCGGGGUUAGAUACAUUUGUGCUAAGUUAUAGCUUUUCAUAGACAACUUGUUGACUAUGUUUAGUCUUGUAGCUUACUCGCUUACGCUAUUUUACCUACGCUUAGGAUGUUGAUCUCUCACAGUCGAGC